rnacentral:rRNA from 1 species
GACCGGCGCACGGGUGAGUAACACGUAUCCAACCUGCCGAUAACUCGGGGAUAGCCUUUCGAAAGAAAGAUUAAUACCCGAUGGUAUAAUUAGACCGCAUGGUCUUGUUAUUAAAGAAUUUCGGUUAUCGAUGGGGAUGCGUUCCAUUAGGCAGUUGGUGAGGUAACGGCUCACCAAACCUUCGAUGGAUAGGGGUUCUGAGAGGAAGGUCCCCCACAUUGGAACUGAGACACGGUCCAAACUCCUACGGGAGGCAGCAGUGAGGAAUAUUGGUCAAUGGGCGCAGGCCUGAACCAGCCAAGUAGCGUGAAGGAUGACUGCCCUAUGGGUUGUAAACUUCUUAUAUAUGGGAAUAAAGUUUUCCACGUGUGGAAUUUUGUAUGUACCAUAUGAAUAAGGAUCGGCUAACUCCGUGCCAGCAGCCGCGGUAAUACGGAGGAUCCGAGCGUUAUCCGGAUUUAUUGGGUUUAAAGGGAGCGUAGGUGGACAGUUAAGUCAGUUGUGAAAGUUUGCGGCUCAACCGUAAAAUUGCAGUUGAUACUGGCUGUCUUGAGUACAGUAGAGGUGGGCGGAAUUCGUGGUGUAGCGGUGAAAUGCUUAGAUAUCAC